rnacentral:lncRNA from 1 species
UAUUUAUUUUUUUCAUUUUUCAUUUGUUUUUUCGUUUUUUAUUUUUCUUUUUUUAUUAUAUUUUCGUAUUUUAGUUAAGUUUUUCUUUUUUUCUUAGUUCGUAAGGUUUUGCAUUUUUUUAGUUCUUAAGGUUUUGCUUUUUUUUAGUUCGAAAGGUUAUGAUUUUUUUUCGUUUAGUUAUUAGGUUUAGUUAUCAACUUUCUAAUUUAAAAAAAAAAAAAAAACUUGGCAGUACAUUUUAUAAUUUUCCAUCAUUUAACAUCUGCUUUUCAUAUGUUGGUUACUGGCAUUACAUCUUGUGGUCUAAGUGUUCACAUCAUUUAUUUUUACCGGUUAACAUCUUAUGUUUUUUACCUCUGGUUUACUUACAUCUGUGGUUUGUUGUAGUGAGACAAUCUGUUGCUGUUCAUCCAUCCAUUUAGUUAUAUCUAUUCGGUUUUGGCAUUAUCGAUCUAUAUCUGGUUUAAUUCAACUGGCUUCUCCAUCUUCGUCUGGGUCCAUCUGGCAGUCUCCACCUCCAUCUGAUAUGGGCAUUCUCCAUGCAUUUUGAUUUCCAUCUGGCUGUUAUAUAUCCUUCUGGCGUCUGGCGAUUUUCAAAGAAAAAAUAAAUCAGACUAGAAAAAUCAAAAAAUAAAAGAAUAAAAAAAGAAAAGAAAAAAAAAUGAAGAAAGAAAUCAAGGAAUAUAGCAAAAUUACAAAUAUGAAAGAAUAUCAAAACAAAAAAAAAGAAAAAGAAAUCAAUGAAUAUAGAAAAAUUACAAAUAUGAAAGAAUAAAAAAAAACAAAGAAAAGAAAAUACAAACAACAUGAAAAAAUAAAAUGAAAAAUGAAGCGAAAAAUUUAUAAAAUAGAGAACGAGUAAAUAUAGAAAAGAAACAAACAUUAGAAAAAAAAAAAAAACUAAGUUACCAAAAAGGCAACAUGAAAAAAUAAAAUGAAA